GGCUCCAUAGCUCAGUUGGUUAGAGCGUAGCACUGUUAUCUCCCCUACCAGACAGUAGCACUCAUCCGCCUCAGGCUGGCUGCGACUCCCCGCUCGGGUCAGCAGCUGGCGCAGGCGAGCUACUCGAGAGAUGCUGAGGUCGGCGGUUCGAGCCCGCCUGGGGUCG
rnacentral:tRNA from 2 species